UACGUAGGGGGCAAGCGUUGUCCGGAUUUAUUGGGCGUAAAGAGCGUGUAGGCGGUCUGGUAGGUCCGCUGUGAAAACUCGAGGCUCAACCUCGAGACGCCGGUGGAAACCAUCAGACUAGAGUCCGGAAGAGGAGAGUGGAAUUCCUGGUGUAGCGGCGAAAUGCGCAGAUAUCAGGAAGAACACCCGUGGCUAAGGCGGCUCUCUAGUACGGUACUGACGCUGAGACGCGAAAGCGUGGGGAGCGAACAGG
rnacentral:rRNA from 1 species